AGGUGAAAUUCUCAGAUUAACAAAAGACUAACUUAUGCGAAAGCAUUUGCCAAGGAUGUUUUCAUCGAUCAAGAACGAAAGU
rnacentral:rRNA from 1 species